rnacentral:rRNA from 1 species
AUAAUGUGAACUGCAGGACACAUGAACACCGACACGUUGAACGCAUAUGGCGCAUCGGACGUUUAAACCCGACCGAUGUACACAUUCUUGAGUGCCUAC